GACGAACGCUGGCGGCGUGCCUAAUACAUGCAAGUUGAGCGCUGAAGGUUGGUACUUGUACCAACUGGAUGAGCAGCGAACGGGUGAGUAACGCGUGGGGAAUCUGCCUUUGAGCGGGGGACAACAUUUGGAAACGAAUGCUAAUACCGCAUAAAAACUUUAAACACAAGCUUUAAGUUUGAAAGAUGCAAUUGCAUCACUCAAAGAUGAUCCCGCGUUGUAUUAGCUAGUUGGUGAGGUAAAGGCUCACCAAGGCGAUGAUACAUAGCCGACCUGAGAGGGUGAUCGGCCACAUUGGGACUGAGACACGGCCCAAACUCCUACGGGAGGCAGCAGUAGGGAAUCUUCGGCAAUGGACGAAAGUCUGACCGAGCAAACGCCGCGUGAGUGAAAGAAGGUUUUUCGGAUCGUAAAAACUCU
rnacentral:rRNA from 1 species